UAAAAAUAAGGCUGGAGAAAAAUCCUCGAGGGAUACGGGCGUCGGAAUCGAGCUGUGACUCUCUGGACAUUUUGGCUUACGAUAAUUCCACACUUGACGCAAACGAUCGCCCAUUCCACGUUCCAUGAUCUGCCGCAUCCUGCGACGAGUUGCCUGGGCCACUUCCGAAGGUUUGAGAACAACGCAGUUUCCGGCAGCCAGUGCGCCCAUCAUCGGAAUCAGCGAAAGCUGAAGGGGGAAAUUCCACGUUCCCAUUACAAGCACAACACCGUAGGGAUCGUUGAAAAUUUUCAGCGAGUCAAACAUGGUCGCGAGACUCCUGGGUGCCUAAAAUAAAUCAACAAUGAUCAACGACAACGUGAGCUAAUAAUUCAAGAGGGAAAAAGUUAGAGUACCAUUUCAGGGGCUGACCAUUCUGCUAAGUGAGCGAGCAUUUCUGAAGUCGCAUUAUUUAUGAACGUGAACUCCAAGAUGUUAUUUUCAUUUUUGCACUGAAAUGAAGUUUUUUUUUUUUAUCUUUUACGAAAGAACAGUGUGAAUAUAUAAUAUGUAAAAUUAUUAUGCGACUAAAAACAGCUUUGCACACUCGUCCCAAGUCGGCUGUGAGUGCAGCAUGAAGUUCUGGCAAAUUUUCAUCUAUCAUUUUUAAAAGCGCCUUCAAUUGCGUCUUCCUCCACUCCAACGGGCGAGUUUUUCCGGUAUAAAAUGUGGCUCGUAAUCUCUGUAUAAGCUGAAAAAUUAAAUCUACUAGUCUAUAUACUUUCACAAUUUUUUUCGUUAUGAGAUUUGAUUCUAUUUAAGGAAACUGAAGAACUUACAUCUCCAUAGUUAGAUGUUGUCAAGUUUCCAUCUGCAGUUAAAUAAAAUUGGUAUGCAAUUAUUCAUUCGUUUUUUUUUGUUUUUUUUUAUUCUCAUUCUCUGCAGAACACGCUUAUGAGGCACAGUGUAAAUGCAUGAAUUUUGUGAAACAUAGCUAAUUAUAACCACUUGAUCCUUGAGUUCCUCGUUUCAAUUGAAUUAAAUACGCACAACGUUUUACAGCGUGAAAAAUAAAAAAAUAAAAAACAUGAAGAUUGUAUCGAGGUAAUAAACAAUUUUUUCAAGGGGCUGAAUCAUUUACGCAUCUACAUACGUGAUGCCGAUAAAGAUUCUACAAAUGAAAGAAAAUUAACGAAAUUUCAUCGAUCGCCUUGGUGAAACAUUCACGUGUAUUUAUAGCACAUGCACGUGUUGUCAAUGUCAAUUAGCAUUCUUCUUUAUUGCACGACGAUACGAAGAGUUAAUAUAAAUUAUUGUGAAACUACGGUGUAAUUUUCGGUAAUUUAACAGUAUCAC
rnacentral:misc_RNA from 1 species